ACAAUGAGGAGAACAGCAUGGUGACCAACGAGCCUGAUGUGGAGUAUACUGAGGUGGUGCAUCCCCGGCCAGUAGAUCCUGCCAGAGUCCCACUGAGAAAAGGCACAGACACAGUGUACAGCGAGCUCCAAAACUCUCCACAUGGUGCUGCUGACCAUCAUGACUAUGUGAGUAAUCAGCUACACAAUCCCACUCCUCAUGUUUAUUUUGCUCCUUUUUACUUUAUUAUUAUUAUCAUUACACUUAAGUACUAUUUUUGCUUACC